rnacentral:rRNA from 1 species
UUCGUAGGCGGUGCGGCAAGUCGGGAGUGAAAUCUCUGGGCUUAACUCAGAGGCUGCUUUCGAAACUGCCGCGCUCGAGUGCGGGAGAGGCCAGUGGAAUUGCAGGUGUAGCGGUGAAAUGCGUAGAUAUCUGCAGGAACACCCGUGGCGAAGGCGGCUGGCUGGACCGCAACUGACGCUGAGGAACGAAAGCUAGGGGAGCAAACAGGAUUAGAUACCCUGGUAGUCCUAGCCCUAAACCAUCAGGACUUGGGGUGGCCCGCGUAGGCGGGUCGUCCCGUAGCUAACGCGUUAAGUCCUGCGCCUGGGGGAGUACGGUCGCAAGACUGAA